AGCGCCAUUACUGUUACUCUGCACAUGAUGGACCAUCGACUGAGACGCACAAGAACAGCCAAGACGCUCCUGGUUCAGAGAACAUCAUCAGCAGACAUCAUCAACCUGUUGAUCCGGCAUUAAGAUGAGAUGCUGCUUCAGCGAGGUACAAAAGCACCAGCGUCAAUAAACACUCUGGUCUGUAAAAAAUGUGCACCAGAUGUGCAGCUUAAAGCCACAGAUAUACACUCAUCCCAUCUAUUGAAGCCUGAAUGACCUGCAGUGCUG